rnacentral:rRNA from 1 species
UGGGGAAUUUUGGACAAUGGGCGAAAGCCUGAUCCAGCCAUGCCGCGUGAGUGAAGAAGGCCUUCGGGUUGUAAAGCUCUUUCGGGUGGAAAGAAAACGCAUAGGUUAAUAUCUUGUGCGGAUGAUGGUACCAUCAGAAGAAGCACCGGCUAACUACGUGCCAGCAGCCGCGGUAAUACGUAGGGUGCGAGCGUUUAUCGGAAUUACUGGGCGUAAAGCGUGCGCAGGCGGUUAUGUAAGACAGAUGUGAAAUCCCCGGGCUCAACUGGGGAACUGCGUUUGGGACUGCAUAACUAGGGUACGAUAGAGGGGGAUGGAAUUCCUCGUGUAGCAGUGAAAUGCGUAGAUAUACGGAGGAAAACCGAUGGCGAAGGCAAUCCCCUGGACCUGAACUGACACUCAUGCACGAAAGCGUGGGGAGCAAACA